AGUGAACGCUGGCGGCAGGCCUAACACAUGCAAGUCGAGCGGCAGCGCGGGGCAACCUGGCGGCGAGCGGCGGACGGGUGAGGAAUGCAUCGGAAUCUACCCUGUCGUGGGGAGUAACGGUAGGGAAACUUACGCUAAUACCGCAUACGACCGAGAGGUGAAAGUGGGGGAGCCGCAAGGCCAGUGCACGCGAUUGGAUGAGCAGAUGCCGGAUUAGCUAGUUGGUGGGGCUAAAGGUCCCGACCAAGGGGCAGCACGAAUGCCGUAGCUGGUCUGGAGAGGAGUGAUCAGCCACACUGGGACUGAGACACGGCCCAGACUCCUACGGGAGGCAGCAGUGGGGAAUAUUGGACAAUGGGCGCAAGCUUGAUCCAGCCAUGCCGCGUGUGUGAAGAAGGCCUUCGGGUUGUAAAGCACUUUUGUUCGGGAAGAAAUCGUGCGGAUUAAUACUUCGUACGGAUGACGGUACCGAAAGAAUAAGCACCGGCUAACUUCGUGCCAGCAGCCGCGGUAAUACGAAGGGUGCAAGCGUUACUCGGAAUCACUGGGCGUAAAGCGUGCGUAGGCGGUUGGUUAAGUCUGCUGUGAAAGCCCUGGGCUCAACCUGGGAACUGCAGUGGAUACUGGCUAGCUAGAGUGUGAUAGAGGAUGGUGGAAUUCCCGGUGUAGCGGUG
rnacentral:rRNA from 1 species